rnacentral:tRNA from 1 species
CAAAGAAUAGUUUAAUUAAAAUAAUAAUUUUGGAGAUUAUUGAUAAAUUUAUAAAAAUUUUUCUUUGA